GAAAUUCUUCACUGAUCUCUCUGGCAUGACUGGCAGACUUUUGAGAGUGAUGUUUCUUUUGGCAGUCUGUGCCUCAACUUGAGCUGUGGCUGCUGCUGCUGAGAGUAGGGCAAUGUGCUGCACAGAUGUCCAGCUCUUAGCAUGCUGCUCUGUGUCCUUUAGCACAGGAAGAACCUUUCAGGGAAUUCUGCAUGCAUCUGUAUUUCCAUAUGCAUCAUGAUCUUUAAAGAAGCCUCCUUGUCAAGGUGUUAAUUAUCUCUUCUUUAUUUAAAGGGUUCCCAAGGCAGCCAGUCCUAUGGCCAGGGUUACCAGUCUCAAGGUGGCAGUUCCUAUGGACAGCAGGGCGGAUCUGUUUCUUAUGGUGGCAGCAGUGGUUGUGGACAAGGUGUCUCCUAUGAUAGCAAUCCCUGUCACCAGGUAAAUGGUCUUUCUCCUCUUAUUUUAGGAUGCAUUAGAAAUUAGUUUUGCCACUAAACCAAUUCGUUCCAAAUUCAGAUUCAUAUUGCACAAAUCCAUGUAAUCUUAUACAUUUUGAGAUUAGAAUUCACUAUCUUCCUAUUCACAGGAGCGUCACGGGGGCUUUGAAGUCUUUUUUGCCACUUUUUCCUAGCAUUACAUUUUGAAAUAUUUAAUUCUAUAGAACAUUAAGGCCAGAUUCUGGAAAGAAGAAGUUUGCUGCAGAGUUGUUCCACUGGCAUGACUUAAAUCAAGGCUGGAGCUCACCAGCUUCUCUCUUCCUGUCAAAAUCCAGAAAAUAUUUUAGAACCGCCAUUCAAGGUCCCAGAAACAAACUGAGUUUGUG
ensembl:lncRNA